CCUGCUAUAUGUCAAUGAAAACCUAUUCAAUCGUAGCCAGAAGGGGUUUUAUCUAAACUGAAAUAUGGCCUCGGGUGGUUACUUGCUAAUUUCGGGGGUGCUGCUGUCCUAGUUGCUGAUCUUGCCACCCUCCAUGACACUUGAUACCCCAAGAAGAAAUUUGGAAAGGAAGGGAAUAUGGUUUCUCGUAUUUAAAAUUGCGUAAAUCCUUUACUUUAUUCCCCACACCGAAAAUAUGCGACACCCAUGACAAUGGGAGAAAUCACGUGAUUCCAAGAAUUUUACUGCAGUGACCUUCAAGAUUAGACCUUGGAGAGUGACGCGAGACCAGUGACGCGAGGCCAGCCAUUCAUCUCCAUGUGCCUCUUUUCAUAUUCUUGUCUUAACAUGGACUUGAUCUUGAGGUGAAUUUUAGCUCGUCCAGUUUACCGUAUAUAAUAGGCUCUUUCCCGCUCAAUUUUUCACCACGAAGAAUACCCAGCUGCCUUUCAUCCAGCAUCCUUACCGAGUCUCCAGCAAUCAACAAUUUCUUGCGGACGCCAAGAGUAGUGAAAUCACAUCCGGUCAUCCCCAGCCAAGCACAUGGCUUCGCAGGGCAAAGGAACCGUGCACAUCCGAACUCAGGGAAGCUACGGCAGGGACGAAGUCCAAAGGAUGAGCUGGGGCAGUUGCUUCACCGUGCAGGCCAAGGGGAUCAAAGCGAAUGGUGUCGUGACGACAGUGGAAGGCCUCGACGGGAAACUGAAGCACGACGUCAUCCUCUCGGAUCUCAAGAAGAAGUUGCAUUGCAAGGGGGACAAAUACAGGACGGAGCAGGCCGGCGAUGUCAUCCGACUCAAUACCAACCACCCCGGGGUGGUGAAGGAUUUCCUGUGGAAAAAUGGCCUGGCAGCGAAAGACAAGAUCAACUGUACCCCAAGCGUUUAGUGAUUUUCCCUUCUAUGUGGGACGAAUGCUUAUGAUUCGACCAUGGGUGUAAAAGUACGUAACUCGUACUUCCUAAUUAUCAAAGUACGGCAAAACGAAAUGGGCAAUUUCGUUCUAUGUG